rnacentral:rRNA from 1 species
CGAAAGCCUGACGGAGCAAUACCGCGUGAGGGAAAAAGGCCUUCGGGUUGUAAACCUCUUUUAUCAAGGAGGAAAUUUUGACGUGUACUUGAUGAAUAAGCAUCGGCUAACUCCGUGCCAGCAGCCGCGGUAAUACGGAGGAGGCAAGCGUUAUCCGGAAUGAUUGGGCGUAAAGCGUUCGUAGGUGGCAAUUCAAGUCUGCUGUCAAAGACAGUAGCUCAACUACUGCAAGGCAGUGGAAACUGAAUAGCUAGAGUGCGGUAGGGGCAGAGGGAAUUCCCGGUGUAGCGGUGAAAUGCGUAGAGAUCGGGAAGAACACCGGUGGCGAAAGCGCUCUGCUGGGCCGCAACUGACACUGAGGGACGAAAGCUAGGGGAGCG